UAUGGCCAUGUCACAUUGAAACACCGAUUCCCGUAUGAUCACCGAAGUUAAGCAACUUCGUCUUCUCAGUAUCUAGAUGGGUAACCGCUUAAGAAUACCAGGUGCCGUU